UACGGAGGGUACGAACGUUAAUCGGAUUUACUGGGCGUAAAGCGCGCGUAGGCGGUCUGUUAAGUGGGGUGUGAAAUCCCCGGGCUCAACCCGGGAACUGCGCUCCAAACUGACGGGCUAGAGUAUGGUAGAGGGAGGUAGAAUUUCCUGUGUAGCGGUGAAAUGCGUAGAUAUAGGAAGGAAUACCGAUGGCGAAGGCAGCCUCCUGGACCAAUACUGACGCUGAGGUGCGAAAGCGUGGGGAGCAAACAGG
rnacentral:rRNA from 1 species